rnacentral:rRNA from 1 species
CCGCCUGCCCUGUGACUAUAUGUUUAACGGCCGCGGUAUCUUAACCGUGCGAAGGUAGCGUAAUCACUUGUCUUUUAAAUGAAGACCUGUAUGAAUGGCAUCACGAGGGCUUAGCUGUCUCCCUUCUCCAGUCAAUGAAAUUGACCUCCCCGUGCAGAGGCGGGGAUGUUUCUAUAAGACGAGAAGACCCUGUGGAGCUUUAGACCUAAAGUAAACCACGUUUAAUGUACUAAAAUUAAUAGCAUAAACUUAGUGGACAUUUAUUUAAGUGUCUUUGGUUGGGGCGACCGCGGAGUAAAACAUAACCUCCAUGUGGACGGGGAUACUAUCCCUAAAACUCAGAGCCUCCACUCGAAGCAACAGAAAUUCUGACCUUACUGAUCCGGUACAACCGAUUAACGAACCCAGUUACCCCAGGGAUAACAGCGCAAUCCCCUCUCAGAGCUCAUAUCGACGAGGGGGUUUACGACCUCGAUGUUGGAUCAGGACAUCCUAGUGGUGCAGCCGCUAUUG